rnacentral:rRNA from 1 species
ACCCGCUGAACUUAAGCAUAUCAAUAAGCGGAGAAAAAGAAACCAACAGGGAUUGCCCUAGUAACGGCGAGUGAAGCGGCAUCAGCUCAAAUUUGAAAUCUGGCUCUUUUAGGGUCCGAGUUGUAAUUUGCAGAGGGAGCUUUGGCAUAGGCAGCGAUUCAAGUUCCUUGGAACAGGACGUCACAGAGGGUGAGAAUCCCGUACGUGGUCGCUAGCUCUUGCCGUGUAAAGCCCCUUCGACGAGUCGAGUUGUUUGGGAAUGCAGCUCUAAAUGGGAGGUAAAUUUCUUCUAAAGCUAAAUAUUGGCUAGAGACCGAUAGCGCACAAGUAGAGUGAUCGAAAGAUGAAAAGUACUUUGGAAAGAGAGUCAAAAAGCACGUGAAAUUGUUGAAAGGGAAGCGCUUGCAGCCAGACUUGCCUGUAGUUGCUCAUCCGGGCUUUUGCCCGGUGCACUCUUCUGUAGGCAGGCCAGCAUCAGUUUGGGCGGUUGGAUAAAGGUCUCUGUCAUGUACUUCUCUUCGGGGAAGCCUUAUAGGGGAGGCGACAUACAACCAGCCUGGACUGAGGUCCGCGCAUUCGUGCUAGGAUGCUGGCGUAAUGGCUGU